UAGGGAAUCUUCCGCAAUGGGCGAAAGCCUGACGGAGCAACGCCGCGUGAGUGAUGAAGGUCUUCGGAUCGUAAAACUCUGUUAUUAGGGAAGAACAAAUGUGUAAGUAACUAUGCACGUCUUGACGGUACCUAAUCAGAAAGCCACGGCUAACUACGUGCCAGCAGCCGCGGUAAUACGUAGGUGGCAAGCGUUAUCCGGAAUUAUUGGGCGUAAAGCGCGCGUAGGCGGUUUUUUAAGUCUGAUGUGAAAGCCCACGGCUCAACCGUGGAGGGUCAUUGGAAACUGGAAAACUUGGGUGCAGAAGAGGAAAGUGGAAUUCCAUGUGUAGCGGUGAAAUGCGCAGAGAUAUGGAGGAACACCAGUGGCGAAGGCGACUUUCUGGUCUGUAACUGACGCUGAUGUGCGAAAGCGGGGGGAUCAAACAGG
rnacentral:rRNA from 1 species